CCUACGGGCGGCAGCAGUGAGGAAUAUUGGUCAAUGGGCGCAGGCCUGAACCAGCCAAGUCGCGUGAGGGAAGACUGCCCUAUGGGUUGUAAACCUCUUUUAUAAGGGGAGAAUAAUGACUACGUGUAGUCAGAUGCACUUACCUUAUGAAUAAGCAUCGGAUAACUCCGUGCCAGCAGCCGCGGUAAUACGGGGGAUGCGAGCGUUAUCCGGAUUUAUUGGGUUUAACGGGUAGGUAGGCGGGAUUUUAAGUUAGUGGUAAAACGUCGGGGCUUCACCUUGAAUGGCCAUUAAAACUGGAGUACUAGAGUACAGAAGAGGUAGGCGGAAUAAGUUAAGUAGCGGUGAAAUGCUUAGAGAU
rnacentral:rRNA from 1 species